rnacentral:rRNA from 1 species
CCUACGGGUGGCAGCAGUCGAGAAUCUUUCACAAUGGGGGAAACCCUGAUGCUGCGACGCCGCGUGGGGGAAUGAAGGUCUUCGGAUUGUAAACCCCUGUCAUGUGGGAGCAAAUUAAAAAGAUAGUACCACAAGAGGAAGAGACGUCUAACUCUGUGCCAGCAGCCGCGGUAAUACGGAGGUCUCAAGCGUUGUUCGGAGUCACUGGGCGUAAAGCGCUCGUAGGCGGUAUGUCAAGUCAAGGGUGAAAGCCCGGCGCUCAACGUAGGAACUGCCUUUGAAACUGGCAAACUGGAGUGUGUGAGAGGCAGGUGGAAUUCCAGGUGUAGGGGUGAAAUGCGUAGAUAUCUGGAGGAACAUCAGUGGCGAAGGCGGCUUUCUGGCACAUAACUGACGCUGAGGAGCGAAAGCGUGGGUAGCAAACAGGAUUAGAUACCCGAGUAGUC